UACAGAGGUCUCAAGCGUUUGUUCGGAUUCAUUGGGCGUAAAGGGUGUGUAGGUGGCGCGCUAAGUCGGGUGUGAAAUUUCGGAGCUUAACUCCGAAACUGCAUUUGAUACUGGCGUGCUUGAGGACUGGAGAGGAGACUGGAAUUUACGGUGUAGCGGUGAAAUGCGUAGAUAUCGUAAGGAAGACCAGUGGCGAAGGCGGGUCUCUGGACGA
rnacentral:rRNA from 1 species